rnacentral:rRNA from 1 species
AAACUGGAGAGUUUGAUCCUGGCUCAGAACGAACGCUGGCGGCGUGCUUAACACAUGCAAGUCGAACGCGAAAGGGAUUUCGGUCCUGAGUAGAGUGGCGCACGGGUGAGUAAC